UGGGGAAUUUUGGACAAUGGGCGAAAGCCUGAUCCAGCAAUGCCGCGUGUGUGAAGAAGGCCUUCGGGUUGUAAAGCACUUUUGUCCGGAAAGAAAUCCUUGGCUCUAAUACAGUCGGGGGAUGACGGUACCGGAAGAAUAAGCACCGGCUAACUACGUGCCGGCAGCCGCGGUAAUACGUAGGGUGCAAGCGUUAAUCGGAAUUACUGGGCGUAAAGCGUGCGCAGGCGGUUUGCUAAGACCGAUGUGAAAUCCCCGGGCUCAACCUGGGAACUGCAUUGGUGACUGGCAGGCUAGAGUAUGGCAGAGGGGGGUAGAACUCCACGUGUAGCAGUGAAAUGCGUAGAGAUGUGGAGGAAUACCGAUGGCGAAGGCAGCCCCCUGGGCCAAUACUGACGCUCAUGCACGAAAGCGUGGGGAGCAAACAGGAUUAGAUACCCUGGUAGUCCACGCCCUAAACGAUGUCAACUAGUUGUUGGGGAUUCAUUUCCUAGUAACGUAGCUAACGCGUGAAGUUGACCGCCUGGGGAGUACGGUCGCAAGAUUAAAACUUAAAUGAAUUGACGGGGUCAUAGCUG
rnacentral:rRNA from 1 species